UGAGAAUCCGGAGAACCCAAACCCAAACAAGUGUCUGCUGCCAGGGCUUGCAACCGAGCGCCGAGCAAGGAGCGCUCCUUAUUUGGUGAUUGACUGCAAGGCCUGGCAGGCCCACUGCCAGGGCCUUUCUGGACCCGCACAGUGGCUGAGCGGUGGAGGGCAAGCCUCGGCAACUGCAUGAGGAGAGGACAGUCCCAUCUACUGAGAUCAUCAACAUGUUGCCACAGAAGCCCUUGGACCUCAUUGAACC
rnacentral:lncRNA from 11 species